rnacentral:rRNA from 1 species
GAUGAACGCUGGCGGCGUGCCUAAUACAUGCAAGUCGAACGAAACGCGCCUAGGUGCUUGCACUCGGUCAAGGUGAGUCGCGAACGGGAGAGUAACUCGCGGUUACCCUACCUUAUAGCGGGGGAUUACAGUCGGAAACGACUGCUAAUUCCGCAUAGGACUUAGGUUAUAAUUAUCACGUGGGGAAAGGUGGCUCAACAUACCGCCUAGUAACUGAUUCGCGUUGUAUUAGCUCGUUAGUGGGGUAAUGGCUAACCAAGGCGAGGAUGCAUAACCGAACGGAGAGGGUGAUCGGCCACAUUGGGACUGAGACAAGGCCCGAACCACUACGGGAGGCAGGGGAGGGGAGUCGUCCGCAAGGGACGGAACUGUAGCGGGACAACGCCACGUGGGUGAAAAAGGGCUUCGGAUCGGAAAGCUCUGUUGUUAGUGAAGAACAGCGCAUAGGGUUACGGGUAUGCGUGUGACGGUAUCUAACCAGAAAGCCACGGCUAACUACGUG